rnacentral:rRNA from 1 species
GACGAACGCUGGCGGCGUGCCUAAUACAUGCAAGUCGAGCGAAUGGAUUGAGAGCUUGCUCUUAUGAAGUUAGCGGCGGACGGGUGAGUAACACGUGGGUAACCUGCCCAUAAGACUGGGAUAACUCCGGGAAACCGGGGCUAAUACCGGAUAACAUUUUGAACCGCAUGGUUCGAAAUUGAAAGGCGGCUUCGGCUGUCACUUAUGGAUGGACCCGCGUCGCAUUAGCUAGUUGGUGAGGUAACGGCUCACCAAGGCAACGAUGCGUAGCCGACCUGAGAGGGUGAUCGGCCACACUGGGACUGGGACACGGCCCAGACUCCUACGGGAGGCAGCAGUAGGGAAUCUUCCGCAAUGGACAAAGUCUGACGGAGCAACGCCGCGUGAGUGAUGAAGGCUUUCGGGUCGUAAAACUCUGUUGUUAGGGAAGAACAAGUGCUAGUUGAAUAAGCUGGCACCUUGACGGUACCUAACCAGAAAGCCACGGCUAACUACGUGCCAGCCGCCGCCGUAA